rnacentral:lncRNA from 1 species
UAUUUCUAGUUCUCAGAAGUCUAUGGCCCUGUAUUCACUCUGUACUUUGGACUGAAGCCUACUGUGGUAGUAUAUGGAUAUGAAGUGGUAAAGGAAGUCCUGGAUGGAGAGGAGUUUUCUGGUCGGGGUGUCUUCCCAAUUGUUACAAAAGUGAAUAAUGACCUUGGGGUCAUUUUCAGCAAUGGAACAAAAUGGAAGGAGCUUCGGCGUUUCUCACUUAUGACCUUGAGAAAUUUUGGGAUGGGGAAGAGGAGCAUCGAGGAUCGAAUUCAAGAGGAAGCCUCCUGUCUUGUGGAAGAGCUAAGAAAAACAAAUGGCUCACUCUGUGAUCCCACAUUCAUCUUGAGCUGUGCUCCCUCCAACGUGAUCUGCUCAGUUAUUUUCCACAACCGUUUUGAUUACAGCUGUUUUUGCUUCUGACCACCAUUGUACAGAAUUUUAACCUGAAAUCUUUUGUUGCUACAAAGGACAUUGACACUACCCCAUUGACCAAUACUUUUGGUUGUGUACCACCUUCAUACCAGCUGUACUUCACUCCUCGUUAAAACAGAACAGACUUGCUCUUGCUAUGUUGGUAUCUGUGAUUUCUCAGGGGGCACUCUCCACAUCCUUUCCACUAUUUGGGACAUUUCUCUCAUUUCUCUUCACACAUAUCUUCAUUCUCCCACAAUCUAGUGAGCAUCUACCUUUCUUAAGGUUUCCUCGAGUUAUCAUGCAAGUCUGUCUACUGCCCUCUUCAGUCUGUAACACUUAUAUUGACCAUGAACUGUACUAAGACAUGUGCUGAGCUAUUAAUAUGAGUGUAAUACAGAAGAGUUCACCUGAAAGCCAUCUCCACUCUGGUUGAUUCAAAACAAAUAGAAUUAUUAAUUAAAGGAUUGUGUCAUUGU